rnacentral:lncRNA from 1 species
AAUUCUAUAAGGUAGUCAUGGGAUUUUUAGGAUUAGUUUAAGCCAUAGGGUGAAAGGCUGUCAGCCUUUCGGGUCAUGAGGUUCAGGGGACUUGGGCCUCAAGGGGCUAACUUAUUUUUUGAGCUAGAUUUGAAUCCAAGGUAUGAGAACACAUGACACAAUGGGUGUACAUGGGGUUUGGGUGUGUUUCAUAUAUUGAGUUAGCCAUGAGAGUUUUUGGGUUGGGUCACAUUGGCCAUAUAUAUAUACAUUAUAUUGUGUCAUGAUUGGACCAAGCUGAAUAUAAAG